rnacentral:ribozyme from 13 species
GAAGAAGGAGAAGUAGAAGAAGAAGAGAGAGAGGGUUGGAAAAUGGGGCUGAGACUUGUUGGUUUUGUUCUAUUUGUUUUUAUAAGUUCUUUA